AACGCUGGCGGCAUGCUAACACACUGCAGGUUGAACGCUAUUUAUAGAGUGGCGCACGGGUGAGUAACGCGUGGGAACCUGCCUUUCUCUGUGGGAUAACGGUUGGAAACGACCGCUAAUACCGCAUACGCCCUACGGGGGAAAGGUCCGCCGGAGAAAGAGGGGCCCGCGUCUGAUUAGCUAGUUGGUGGGGUAAUGGCCUACCAAGGCUACGAUCAGUAGCUGGUCUGAGAGGAUGAUCAGCCACACUGGGACUGAGACACGGCCCAGACUCCUACGGGAGGCAGCAGUGGGGAAUAUUGGACAAUGGGGGCAACCCUGAUCCAGCAAUGCCGCGUGUGUGAUGAAGGCCUUAGGGUUGUAAAGCACUUUCACUGGUGAAGAUGAUGACGGUAGCCAGAGAAGAAGCCCCGGCUAACUUCGUGCCAGCAGCCGCGGUAAUACGAAGGGGGCGAGCGUUGUUCGGAAUUACUGGGCGUAAAGGGCGCGUAGGCGGUCUUUUAAGUUAGGCGUGAAAGCCCCGGGCUCAACCUGGGAACUGCGCUUAAUACUAGAAGACUAGAAAACGGAAGAGGGUAGUGGAAUUCCCAGUGUAGAGGUGAAAUUCGUAGAUAUUGGGAAAGAACACCAGUGGCGAAAGCGGCUAACUGGGUCCGAUUUUGAC
rnacentral:rRNA from 1 species